CCAAAAAUAUAGCCCCCCCCCUCUUUUCUACCCCCUAACCCAAACCAAAAUAUUUUGACAACCUAGUAAAGAAGAUUAAAAAACUUUUAAGAGCAAUAAACAUGUACCGCAAGGGAAAUCUGAAAUAAAAAUGAAAUAAAUUUUAAGUAUAAAAAAGUAAAGACCAACCCUUGUACCUUUUGCAUCAUGGUUUAGCUAGUCUAACUAGGCAAAAAGCCCCUUAAGUCUAACUUCCCGAAACUACGUGAGCUAUUUUAGGGCCGCUUAAUGAGCCCACCCGUCUAUGUUGCAAAAUAGUGGGAAGACCUUAAAAUAGAGGUGACAGACCUAACGAACUUAGUUAUAGCUGGUUUCUCAAGAAAAGAAUCUUAGUCCCACCUAAAGUAACGCAAAUCCAUACAAAUAACCCCAUUACUUUAGAGCAAUUCAAAUAAGGUACAGCCUAUUUGAUACAGGAUACAACCUUUAUUAACGGGUAACACUUACUCACACCUACAAGUAGGCCUAAAAGCAGCCACCUUUUGAAAAGCGUCACAGCUUAACUGUGCUCAACUUAAUUCCUAAGCCCCCAUCGACCCCUUCAGUUGUACUGAGAACCUCUAUAACACUAUAGAACCUUUAAUGCUAAAACUAGUAACAAGAGAUAACUCCUCUCCAUAAUGCAAGUUUAAGCCAACAAGGGCCCCCCACUGGCAAUUAACAAACCAAAACAGUACCCCUCCCUGAAAAUCCUGCUUUUCUCAACUGUUAAUCUUACACUAGCGCAUUUCAGGAAAGAUUUUUUAAAAAAGAAGGAACUCGGCAAAGACUAGCCCCGCCUGUUUACCAAAAACAUCGCCUCUUGCCCUCAUAAGAGGUCCAGCCUGCCCAGUGACUCUUGUUUAACGGCCGCGGUAUCCUAACCGUGCAAAGGUAGCGUAAUCACUUGUUUUCUAAAUAAAGACUAGUAUGAAAGGCACCACGAGGGCUAAACUGUCUCCUUUUUUUAAUCAGUGAAUCUAAUCUCCCCGUGAAGAAGCGGGGAUUCUUAUAUAAGACGAGAAGACCCCAUGGAGCUUAAAACAUCAUAACACCUGCCAUUACACCUUCCCUGUUCCGGGCAUUUCUCUUAAUAGGCACACUGAUUAUAUGUUUUUGGUUGGGGCGACCGCGGAGAAAAACCUAUCCUCCCCGAUGAAAGGGAAUUUCCCUAAACAAUAAGCCACAACUUUAUGUAUCAACAAAUUGACAUUUAUUGACCCGAUAUAUCGACUAACGAACCAAGUUACCCUGGGGAUAACAGCGCAAUCCACUUCAAGAGCCCCUAUCGACAAGUGGGCUUACGACCUCGAUGUUGGAUCGGGGUACCCCAGUGGUGCAGCCGCUACUAAAGGUUCGUUUGUUCAACGAUUAAAACCCCACGUGAUCUGAGUUCAGACCGGAGCAAUCCAGGUCAGUUUCUAUCUAUAACAGAGCUUUUCUCAGUACGAAAGGACCAGAACAGCACGCCCAAUGCCCACGCAAGCCGUAGUUAACUAUUUCAGACACCCUCUC
rnacentral:rRNA from 1 species